GAUGAACGCUAGCUACAGGCUUAACACAUGCAAGUCGGGGGGUAACGAGAGGAAAGCUUGCUUUCCUUGUCGACGACCGGCGCACGGGUGAGUAACGCGUAUCCAACCUGCCCCCAACUAAGGAAUAACCUUGCGAAAGUAAGACUAAUACCUUAUAAUUUCCUCAGAUGUCAUCUGACGAGGAAUAAAGAUUUAUCGGUUGUGGAUGGGGAUGCGCUCUGAUUAGCUUGUUGGCGGGGUAACGGCCCACCAAGGCAACGAACAGAAGGGGUUCUGAGAGGAAGGUCCCCAAAAUGGGAAGUGGGACCCGGUCAAAACUCGUACGAGAGACAGCAGUGAGGAAUAUUGGUCAAUGGGCGGAAGCCUGAACCAGCCAAGUAGCGUGCAGGAUGACGGCCCUAUGGGUUGUAAACUGCUUUUAUACAGGAAUAAAGUUAGCCACGUGUGGUUAUUUGUAGGUACUGUAUGAAUAAGGACCGGCUAAUUCCGUGCCAGCCGCCGCCGUAA
rnacentral:rRNA from 1 species